rnacentral:precursor_RNA from 1 species
CGCUCCGUUUCCUUUUGCCUGAUUCCAGGCUGAGGUAGUAGUUUGUACAGUUUGAGGGUCUAUGAUACCACCCGGUACAGGAGAUAACUGUACAGGCCACUGCCUUGCCAGGAACAGCGCGCCAGCUGCCAAGUGGGG